CCUGGAUGGACUCUGCACAUAGUAGACUUGGCGACGAUCCGAUCUUGCCGGUGAAGAUUGACUUAGGCUGCUCACCUCUGAGUCUGUCUUGGAGAGAUGAGCCGACAUUUUCUCCAGUUCUAGCUGUUGUUUUGUAAGUCGAAGACCCAAUGCUAGUGAUGAAGGAGGAGGAGGAGAAGAAGAAAUAGCAAGAGAGAGUAUGAAAAUGGGGUUUACUUGAGAAUUAAAUGUUUAGUAAAAUUGUAGGAUCUCUGGAACGUACCUUUUGCUGUCUGCACGUAGCAAUUUAGUUUUGUUUAUUAUUAUCGAUGUGAAAAAGUAAUUAAUGAGAGCAGGUGGGGAGAGAGAGACAGAGCAAUGGCAGUUGUCCAGUGAAAUAGGUCAUUGUUUGUAUUCAUAUAUGAAAUUGUCAACUUUAACUAUUUUUUACACUCAACCAGUUUCACUGCAGAUCUACAUCUAGCCUGUGUGUCAACACAAAGAUUGGCUCUGUGAGUGAAAUCAAGAUCAAAGUAACAUCAAGGGAACUGUGUUGAAAGCACUGAGACAAGAUCAACCUGGAAGGAUUUGGAGUGGGCCUCAAAAUAUCACUGCAUCUUACAUUCUAAAUUGUAAACCAAAGGGG
rnacentral:lncRNA from 1 species